CCUACGGGAGGCAGCAGUGAGGAAUAUUGGUCAAUGGUCGGGAGACUGAACCAGCCAAGCCGCGUGAGGGAUGAAGGUACAGAGUAUCGUAAACCUCUUUUGUCAGGGAACAAAGGCGGGGACGUGUCCCCGGUUGAGUGUACUUGAUGAAAAAGCAUCGGCUCACUCCGUGCCAGCAGCCGCGGUAAUACGGAGGAUGCGAGCGUUAUCCGGAUUUAUUGGGUUUAAAGGGUGCGUAGGUGGUUUGUUAAGUCAGCGGUUAAAGGGCGGGGCUCAACCCGCAGCCCGCAGUUGACACUGGCAGUCUUGAGUUGGAGAGAAGUAUGCGGAAUGCGCGGUGUAGCGGUGAAAUGCAUAGAUAUCGCGAAGAACUCCGAUUGCGAAGGCAGCAUGCCGGCUCCACACUGACGCUGAGGCACGAAAGCGUGGGUAUCGAACAGGAUUAGAUACCCGAGUAGUC
rnacentral:rRNA from 1 species